AGAGCGAACGCUGGCGGCAGGCUUAACACAUGCAAGUCGAGCGGGCGUAGCAAUACGUCAGCGGCAGACGGGUGAGUAACGCGUGGGAACGUACCUUUUGGUUCGGAACAACACAGGGAAACUUGUGCUAAUACCGGAUAAGCCCUUACGGGGAAAGAUUUAUCGCCGAAAGAUCGGCCCGCGUCUGAUUAGCUAGUUGGUGAGGUAACGGCUCACCAAGGCGACGAUCAGUAGCUGGUCUGAGAGGAUGAUCAGCCACAUUGGGACUGAGACACGGCCCAAACUCCUACGGGAGGCAGCAGUGGGGAAUAUUGGACAAUGGGCGAAAGCCUGAUCCAGCCAUGCCGCGUGAGUGAUGAAGGCCCUAGGGUUGUAAAGCUCUUUUGUGCGGGAAGAUAAUGACGGUACCGCAAGAAUAGCCCGGCUAACUUCGCGCCAGCAGCCGC
rnacentral:rRNA from 1 species